rnacentral:rRNA from 1 species
GACCUCGGAUCAGGUAGGGAUACCCGCUGAACUUAAGCAUAUCAAUAAGCGGAGGAAAAGAAACCAACAGGGAUUGCCUCAGUAACGGCGAGUGAAGCGGCGACAGCUCAAAUUUGAAAUCUGGCCUUCGGGUCCGAGUUGUAAUUUGCAGAGGAUGCUUCGAGCAUGGUCUAGUCUAAGUUCCUUGGAAUAGGACGUCAUAGAGGGUGAGAAUCCCGUAUGCGACUGGGUGCCUAAGCUCAUGUGAAGCUCCUUCGACGAGUCGAGUUGUUUGGGAAUGCAGCUCAAAAUGGGUGGUAAAUUUCAUCUAAAGCUAAAUAUUGGCCAGAGACCGAUAGCGCACAAGUAGAGUGAUCGAGAGAUGAAAAGCACUUUGGAAAGAGAGUUAAAUAGCACGUGAAAUUGUUGAAAGGGAAGCGC